rnacentral:rRNA from 1 species
CUACGGGCCGCUCCAGUGGGGAAUCUUGCACAAUGGAGGAAACUCUGAUGCAGCGAUGCCGCGUGAGUGAAGAGGGCCCUUGGGUUGUAAAGCUCUUUUGUCGGGAAAGAUAAUGACUGUACCCGAAGAAUAAGGUCCGGCUAACUUCGUGCCAGCAGCCGCGGUAAUACGAAGGGACCUAGCGUAAUUCGGAAUUACUGGGCGUAAAGCGCGCGUAGGCGGUUAAGUAAGUUAAUUGUGAAAGCCCAAAGCUCAACUUUGGAAUUGCAAUUAAAACUACUUAGCUAGAGUUUAUCAGAGGAAAGCGGAAUACAUAGUGUAGAGGUGAAAUUCGUAGAUAUUAUGUAGAACACCAGUUGCGAAGGCGGCUUUCUGGGAUAACACUGACGCUGAGGUGCGAAAGUAUGGGUAGCGAAGAGGAUUAGAUACCCUCGUAGUC